UACGAAGGGUGCAAGCGUUACUCGGAAUUACUGGGCGUAAAGCGUGCGCAGGCGGUCUUGCAAGACAGGUGUGAAAUCCCCGGGCUUAACCUGGGAACUGCACUUGUGACUGCAAGGCUGGAGUGCGGCAGAGGGGGAUGGAAUUCCGCGUGUAGCAGUGAAAUGCGUAGAUAUGCGGAGGAACACCGAUGGCGAAGGCAAUCCCCUGGGCCUGCACUGACGCUCAUGCACGAAAGCGUGGGGAGCAAACAGG
rnacentral:rRNA from 1 species